GAGUCCCACAAGCAUCGAGACUGCAGACUGCGGCGCUGGCUGGGGCCACUCCUCCCGCGACACUCUGAAACUGCUCCCCUUCUCCCUUGGGAGCUCUAAGGGUUCGGACCCACUAAGACCCCUCCCUUUAAGUCCAGCCCGGGGAAGGGGAGGCGGGGAGAGCCCUGCAGGAGCAGCGCCACAGGAAAACCCCGUGUCCCCUCCCCAGCUGGCAGGAGUGGCCCUGGCGGCGCGCGCCCAGCCGCUCCCAGGUGCAAAAACACACCCGAGGCGUUUGCUGUUGUACCAUUUAUCCAUCAGCCACUAAUGAAUAUUAUUCUACCAUUACUAUGUAUAAGCUAUGUAUAUGUAUUACUAUGUAUAUUCUGUAUAGUGGAGCUACACUCCUGCACAAGACAUGGAACAAAUCCAGUAGUUUCCAAGGUUCAAAUCUAAUUAGGAAAUCCUACAGAAUCAACUCUGGACUCAGCAUCUCCUUCUUGCUGUCUACGUGGUCACACGCUGGUUUUCGCUGUGCCGUCUUUGCUAAUGAAGAAGGUUGCUUUGGAAAUACAGAACAAGAGUAAGAGAUGUACCUCAGUGGUGGAUGGAGCACUUGCUUGUUAUAUGUAAGGUCUCCACUUUGAUCCCUGAUGGUGGAAAAUAAAAUAAAGUGCAAAGAAAAAC
rnacentral:lncRNA from 1 species